GCCUUAGCCUCCUAAAGUUCUGGGAUUACAGGAGCACUUCAAAAAACGUAUCAGAAGAUACUUCGAGAAAAAGAAAGUGCUUUAGAAGCGAAAUACCAAGCAAUGGAGAGAGCAGCGACAUUUGAACAUGACAGAGAUAAAGUUAAAAGGCAAUUCAAGAUUUUUAGGGAGACCAAAGAAAAUGAAAUUCAGGACUUACUGAGGGCCAAGAGGGAGUUGGAGAGCAAACUUCAGAGGCUACAGGCUCAAGGUAUCCAAGUAUUUGAUCCUGGGGAGUCUGAUUCAGAUGACAACUGUACAGAUGUCACUGUAUCAUUGGAAUCUGACCAACAUCCUGGAAUUUUUAUUGCUAACUUUUAAGGAAAAAAAUGAAGGCCGGGCGCGGUGGCUCAUGCCUGUAAUCCCAGCACUUUGGGAGGCCAAGGUGGGCGGAU
rnacentral:sRNA from 1 species